GCCGAUCACGUAUUCCUGGGGAGCAGCGCCCUCUGGAGGAGCCGCGCAUCCACGCAGUCGGGAUCCGGACGACGAGGUCUGGGACCAGGCUCCCCCGCCCCACCCCACACCUUUGGCAAAAUCAUCCAGACACCCAUAACUUCCUGAGCCUUCUUUGCGCAUGCUUGUUUCCUUUCCCAACCUGUACCUAUGCUUCAAAACCCUGCUCAAAUCCCGCCUCCUCCGAAGGAAGCCUUCUCCAGAGCCCAACUCAUCUUCCCCUGUUCCUGCUCUGAGCUCCUCAGAGCCUAAAGCCUGAACCCUUGACUCCAACGCUCGCACCCGGCACUGCACGGCGGAACUGCUUCCAGCCUUGCCUUUCUCCAGACUGUCGGUCCAUCCGCUCCACUCACCCUUUGCAUUGCAUGCUGGUUCACCUCUGAACUCCGGCUCCCUCUCACUCCCGCCUGGCUCACUCCUAACCCUUCUUCCAGGUCAGACGUUAAGCUCUACGUGCUACUUCCCCCUGCACUACCCCAUGCUGGCCAGGCUGUGAGGGCCUCCUGCCUCAGUGCUCCCAAAGACUUAACUCACUCUGUUGUCGUGAUUUGUUUUCCAGUUUGUCACCCUCUGUCCACUGUAAGCUCCUUGAAAACAGUCAUUAUAUUGUUUUCGCCCUCAUCUUUCCUCUUCUACAAAAUGGGGAUAAGAAAUGUACCUACCACAUUGAGUUGUUGUGACGAUUAAAUGAGAUAAUAGGUAAAAGUA